AGCUGGGAUCUUGUGGCGACAAAAGUCUAUGAACCCCGCCAGAUCCGGAAGGAAGCAACGGUAGUAGCCACUUUCGUGCGAUCAGGGUAUCCUGGUUGCC
rnacentral:SRP_RNA from 4 species